CGAGAAAGCCCGCAAGGGUGAGUACAGCGGCGCACGGGUGAGUAACACGUGGGUAAUCUGCCCUGGAGUCCGGAAUAACUCGCCGAAAGGCGUGCUAAUGCCGGAUAGGACCACGGGGACCUCGGUCCCUGCGGGAAAAGGUGGCCUCUGCAUGCAAGCUAUCACUUCAGGAUGAGCCCGCGGCCCAUCAGCUCGUUGGCGGGGUAACGGCCCACCAAGGCUACGACGGGUAGCUGGUCUGAGAGGACGAUCAGCCACACUGGAACUGAGACACGGUCCAGACUCCUACGGGAGGCAGCAGUGGGGAAUCUUGCGCAAUGGGCGAAAGCCUGACGCAGCAACGCCGCGUGUGUGAUGAAGGUCUUCGGAUCGUAAAGCACUGUCGCGAGGGACG
rnacentral:rRNA from 1 species